GACGAACGCUGGCGGCGUGCUUAACACAUGCAAGUCGAACGGAAAGGCCCUGCUUUUGUGGGGUGCUCGAGUGGCGAACGGGUGAGUAACACGUGAGUAACCUGCCCUUGACUUUGGGAUAACUUCAGGAAACUGGGGCUAAUACCGGAUAGGAGCUCCUGCUGCAUGGUGGGGGUUGGAAAGUUUCGGCGGUUGGGGAUGGACUCGCGGCUUAUCAGCUUGUUGGUGGGGUAGUGGCUUACCAAGGCUUUGACGGGUAGCCGGCCUGAGAGGGUUACCGGCCACAUUGGGACUGAGAUACGGCACAGACUCCUACGGGAGGCAGCAGUGGGGAAUAUUGCACAAUGGGAGGAAGCCUGAUGCAGCAACGCCGCGUGCGGGAUGACGGCCUUCGGGUUGUAAACCGCUUUCGCCUGUGACGAAGCGUGAGUGACGGUAAUGGGUAAAGAAGCACCGGCUAACUACGUG
rnacentral:rRNA from 1 species